rnacentral:rRNA from 1 species
CAAUAUGAAGGUCAGGCUGAAGACCUUACCCGAUUAGCUGAGAGGUGGUGCAUGGCCGUCGCCAGUUCGUACUGUGAAGCAUCCUGUUAAGUCAGGCAACGAGCGAGACCCACGUCCACAGUUGCCAGCAUACCCUCCGGGGUGAUGGGUACACUGUGGAGACCGCCGCUGCUAAAGCGGAGGAAGGAGUGGGCAACGGUAGGUCAGUAUGCCCCGAAUCUCCCGGGCUACACGCGGGCUACAAUGGUUGGUACAAUGGGCAUCUACCCCGAAAGGGGAAGGAAAUCUCUUAAAGCCAAUCGUAGUUCGGAUUGAGGGCUGCAACUCGCCCUCAUGAAGCUGGAAUCCGUAGUAAUCGCGUUUCAACAGAACGCGGUGAAUACGUCCCUGCUCCUU